UACGUAGGGUGCAAGCGUUGUCCGGAAUUAUUGGGCGUAAAGAGCUCGUAGGCGGUCUGUCGCGUCGGCUGUGAAAACUCGGGGCUCAACUCCGAGCUUGCAGUCGAUACGGGCAGGCUAGAGUUCGGCAGGGGAGACUGGAAUUCCUAGUGUAGCGGUGAAAUGCGCAGAUAUCAGGAGGAACACCGGUGGCGAAGGCGGUGAUCUGGGCCGACACUGACGCUGUAGAGCGAAAGCGUGGGGAGCGAACAGG
rnacentral:rRNA from 1 species